rnacentral:rRNA from 1 species
CCUACGGGUGGCAGCAGUGAGGAAUAGUGGUCAAGGGACGCAAGUCUGAACCAGCCAUGCCGCGUGCAGGAAGACGGCUCUAUGAGGGGUAAACUGCGUUUGUACGAGGGUAAACGCAGAUACGCGUAUCUGUCUGAAAGUAACGUACGAAUAAGGAUCGGCGAACGCCGUGCCAGCAGCCGCGGUAAUACGGAGGAUUCAAGCGUUCUCCGGAUUUAUUGGGUUUAAAGGGUGCGUAGGCGGUCGGAUAAGUUAGAGGUGAAAUCCCGAGGCUCAACUUCGGAAUUGCCUCUGAUACUGUUCGGCUAGAGCGUAGUUGCGGUAGGCGGAAUGUAUGGUGUAGCGGU